GACGAACGCUGGCGGCGCGCUUAACACAUGCAAGUCGAACGGAAAGGCCUGCUUUCCCUUGUGGAUUGCGGGUACUCGAGUGGCGAACGGGUGAGUAACACGUGAGUGAUCUGCCCCCAACUUGGGUAUAAGCCUGGGAAACUGGGUCUAAUUCCCGAUAGGACUGCAGGGUGGUGCCUGUGGUGGAAAACGAUUUUCUAGUGGUUGGGGAUGAGCUCGCGGCCUAUCAGCUUGUUGGUGGGGUGAUGGCCUACCAAGGCGGCGACGGGUAGCCGGCCUGAGAGGGUGGACGGCCACAUUGGGACUGAGAUACGGCCCAGACUCCUACGGGAGGCAGCAGUGGGGAAUAUUGCACAAUGGGCGGAAGCCUGAUGCAGCGACGCCGCGUGGGGGAUGACGGCCUUCGGGUUGUAAACUCCUUUCGACCGCGAGGAAGCCACCUGGUUGGAAGGGUGGUGACGGUAGUGGUAGAAGAAGCACCGGCUAACUACGUG
rnacentral:rRNA from 1 species